rnacentral:lncRNA from 1 species
AAAAAUUUGAGAGUUGGUUUGAGAAUCAAACAAACAAAAGUAUGAAAAUGCAAUGGUAUAUACAGAUGAAGGUUUGGAGUGGUACCUUACUGAAAAUAGCAAUCCAGGUAUUGAGUCAUGGACUCGCUUGUAUAAGCACCUGGUGCAGGCGGGACAGGAGGAGCCUCUGCUGGUUGCUCAACGUUCUGCUCGACAGGAUCCGCAGUGAGGUCUUGGAAAUGAUACGCACCUGGAUCAACAGUCAGGUCCUCAAUGUGAUCCUCAGCUUGAUCCAUGGUCAGAUCCUCAACAUGAUGCUCCUCUGACAAGUGUGAUGAACUGGCUUUUGCCUUCCGUCUCGCUGCCUUCUUCUUUUUCCUUUUCUCCUACUUCUUGCUAGCCCUAAGCUCAGGGGAGGACUGUCUUAGAGGAGAAGAAGAAACAUUAUGCUCUCUAUACUCAUAAGCGGAAUGACGUGAUGGAGAAGGAGUUCUGUAGCGUGCUGGGACAUCACUCGUGGACAAACGACGCUGCACUGGUCUAGCAUCCUGCGGAGUAGUGUCUGCAAAAGCUGUGGUGGUGGAGGCGCAGCUAAACUUACUCAUGAAGCUCUUCA